CUCUAAAUAAUUAAUAGUGAAAAGUACCGUGAGGGACCGUUAGCGUUCUUGGGCGUAUUCUAAUUUAAUAGCUUAUAAACAACUUUUUAUAAAAAGGUUUACCUUUUGCAUUAUGGUUCGGUCAGUUAAAUUGUAUAGCAAGCUUAAAAAUUAAAUAUUUAAAAAGCGAAAAUAAUUAAAUUUAGAAGUUAUAAAAUUUAAACACGAAACCAACGUGAUCUAUUCAGAUUCAGAUCGAAUAUUUAGUAACAAUAAAUUAGAGGAUCUAACCGGUGUUUGUUGCAAAAAACUCGGGUGAAAUUUGAAUUGGAGUGAAAGGCUAAUCAAACUUGGCGAUAGCUUGUUUUCUGCGAAAUUCUUCUUAGAGAAGCGCUUAAAAUCAAAAUUUUAGGGUAAAGCACUGGUAGAAUUGAGGUUGUUUAUUUAGCAUUACAAAAUUCGUCCAAACUCUGAAUAUAAAAUUAUGUUUUAAGUAGUUAGAUUAUAGGCUAGAAAGUUUAUAAUCAAAAGAGAAACAACUCUAAUUGGUUUUUAAGGCUUUAAAAUAAACUUUAAAAAUAAGAAACUUUUUUAUUGAAACAUUAUUGUUGUAGGCUUAGAAACAGCCACCAUUUUUUGAGGACGUAACAGUCCCUAUGCACAAGUAAAAAAUUGUCUAAAAUAAAAAGAAGUUAAAGUUUUGCCGAAAAACCAAAAUAAAUAUAUUAGUUUAUUGGUAGCAGAACGUCUUGUUUAUUUAUUUUUUUGUGAAAAAAACUCAUAAUAAAUCAAGAUUGAUAAUGCCGAAAUGAGUAACAAAAAAGGUUAUAAAACCUUUCACCUUUUAUUUUAGGUUUUCUUCGUUAUAUUAUAUUUCGUUGAGU
rnacentral:rRNA from 1 species